rnacentral:rRNA from 1 species
UACGAAGGGGGCUAGCGUUGUUCGGAAUCACUGGGCGUAAAGCGCACGUAGGCGGACUUGUUAGUCAGGGGUGAAAUCCCAGGGCUCAACCCUGGAACUGCCUUUGAUACUGCAAGUCUCGAGUCCGGAAGAGGUGAGUGGAACUCCUAGUGUAGAGGUGAAAUUCGUAGAUAUUAGGAAGAACACCAGUGGCGAAGGCGGCUCACUGGUCCGGAUCUGACGAUGAGGUGCGAAAGCGUGGGAAGCAAACAGG